AGGUGGCGGCAGGGUCGCCCCUCCCUUCCGAAGCGCCGGGCUCAGGUUGUUCUUGGAAACCAGAAGCCUCUAGUUCUUCUUUCUGCCCGGAUGGGACCUGGCCAGGGAGCGUCAUGAAUUUCUGCCGGGAGGCGUGGACGUGGGACUUCGCUGCUUCUUUUUAACGCCAGAGAGGUGGGGGGGCGCGACGCCAAAAGCCGGCGAGGCGGGAGCGAACCCCUCUCUCCAAAGCAGCGCCUAAGCGAGCACCGCCGCGGCUCCUUCCGUGGGGCUGUUUGCUUUCGUUUCCACGGGGUUUCGGUGUAAACCGAGCAAAGAUCCUAUAGUUGACUUGCUCUACAGAAUAAAAUGAACAAGAUGAAAACGUUCAAGCGCCGCUUUUCGCUUUCAGUUCCCAGGACAGAGACUAUUGAGGAAUCCCUGGCAGAAUUUACAGAGCAGUUCAAUCAGCUCAACAACAGGAAAUAUGAAGAUAUGGCACAAGGACAUUUACAUCUGGCUCACCUGAAUAGGGAUAUCCGAAUGCAGCCCAGUUCUGCCUCACCUUUGGAAGGCCGGUCCCCGACUUCUCUACAUUACCGAAAUGGCAACCAGCGCCGCUUUUCUAUGGAGGAUGUCAGCAAGCGUCUCUCUCUGCCCAUGGAUAUUCGCCUACCCCCAGAAUUCCUCCAAAAACUAGAAAUGGAAAAUCCAGAGAUUUCUAAGCCUCUCAGCAGAAUGUCACGAAGGGCAUCUCUGUCAGACAUUGGGUUUGGCAAGAUGGAAACUUAUGUUAAACUGGAAAAGUUGGGGGAGGGCACUUAUGCUACUGUAUUUAAAGGACGCAGCAAACUCACCAAGAAUCUUGUGGCGCUGAAGGAGAUCAGGUUAGAGCAUGAAGAAGGGGCACCUUGCACAGCUAUACGGGAAGUUUCCUUACUGAAGAAUCUAAAGCAUGCCAACAUUGUGACUCUCCACGAUAUCAUUCACACAAAAUGCUCCCUCACUCUUGUUUUUGAAUAUCUGGAUAGUGACCUGAAACAGUACCUGGAUAACUGUGGGAAUCUGAUGAGCAUGUACAAUGUGAAGAUUUUCAUGUUCCAGCUGCUUCGUGGUUUGUCCUACUGCCAUCAGCAUAAGAUCCUACACAGAGAUCUCAAGCCACAGAAUCUGCUUAUUAAUGGAAAAGGAGAACUAAAACUUGCUGACUUUGGUCUAGCCAGAGCCAAGUCUGUCCCAACAAAGACAUAUUCCAAUGAAGUGGUCACAUUAUGGUACCGACCUCCUGAUGUCCUACUAGGAUCUACUGAAUAUUCCACUCCCAUAGACAUGUGGGGCGUGGGUUGCAUACACUAUGAAAUGGUCACAGGACGUCCAAUGUUCCCAGGAUCCACUGUGAAAGAAGAACUUAAUUUAAUAUUCAGAAUGUUGGGAACUCCUACAGAAGAAUCUUGGCCAGGCAUCACAUCCAAUGAGGAGUUCAAAACUUACCAGUUCACACAAUAUCGAGCCCAACCUUUGAUAAAUCAUGCACCCAGGCUAGACACAGAAGGUAUUGACCUUUUGACAAGUCUCCUCCUGUAUGAAGCCAAACAGCGUAUCUCUGCUGAAUCAGCUCUACGACAUCCCUACUUUAUGAUCCUAGAUGAACAAGUCCACCUCCUUCCUGAGACUACCUCCAUCUUCUCUUUGAAGGAAAUUCAACUUCAAAAGGACCCUGGCUGCCGAGGCUCAAGUUUCCAGCAUGUUGCUCGAGGAAAGAAUAGGAGGCAAAGCAUAUUUUAAGCCUCUUUGUUCAUUCUUCCAAUCACUGAGAAGAUGGAAGCACUGAGAAGAGAGCAGACCGCUGGAUCCCAGAUAGUCCAUCUGAGAAAAAUAAGGGGUGGCAUCUACUGUACAAGAGCUGCCUUGCAAUCAGCUAUUUCUCAAAAUCUCGCCUCUUUCUCGAAUGAGAAAGGAAAAGAGAGACAUUGUAAAGCCUCAGCCAGCUCCCAUUCUUCGUACAGCUGUUGGAAUAUACCACCUGGGCAAGAAUCUGCAUCAGAUGAAGGCUUCUGAGAAAUCAAAGGGCUGCCACGCUUGCCUAUUUACUGGUCCAAGGGAAGCAAAAUUCAGUCUGCUCUUUUUUAAAAGUUGCUCUUUCAUGAAAGUGCUCACCAUCUAGUAGUACCAAUAUCACAGGCAGUACCCCAAAUAUGAAACUGAGUUUGCAAGGCAACCCUAGUAUCUUCAAGCAAUGGCUUUUGCUUUUUCCACUUUUGAUUACCGGCUCUAACAUUCAGUGAUGCUAUCAGGGCAGGAUUUUGGGAGAGAUGCUUAGCACCCAUUCAGUGUGACCAGAAAAAGCCCCCAAGUGUAGCAAGACCACCUUAUUACAUCUACCAGUAAUUAAGCAAUAGCCAGAGCUCUUUUUUUAUGUCACUAAAUCCAAAAUUUAAAAUUAUCUAAUUCUGUGACUGUUGAAUUCAUGUAUUCCCAAAUCAUGAGACUUGGGGAGACUUUAGCAAGGAAAAAGUUGCCUUCCCCAUGUUUUUCUGAAAUAUCUUACAUUCUUCCUUUCCUUGGUCAGAUUCUAGCCCUCACUUUAAAACCCACAUGACUAAAUUAAACUGUGACCUUGAGGCUUGUUGGUUGUUCUUUUUUUAAAAAAACUUGCUCACUUAUUUACUGAAAUCUAACACAAGGGGAGAGCGUGCAAGCAGGCUGAGGCGCAGCACAUGAUUUCAGCAGGUUAACUCCUUAUCAGCUGACACCAGAUUCAAAGCCAUGUGGAAUUUUCAAGGUCCUGUCCUAAAACAGUCUGAUUGCCCAGGGCAAAGUAACUGGCUUCCAUUGAGUCAUUUCAACUCCCUAGCCUAAAACUAUGUCAUUUUCAAGCACAAUGGGGUUAGAGUGUGAUUCUACUAGCCCAGGCAAAAUCUGUGUAUCCUACUGUGAUCCUUUUGGAUGAUAACAGGAUAAAAAACUAAUGGUUCUGCUAACGGAAAAGCGCAAAUCAAACCUGACUGGCUGCAUCUGUAUCAGCCGUAUAUCCUAUAUUUUAGGUAAUGUGUGCAAUGUACCCCUAAACCAAAUCUUGUCUCCUGCUUAAUGUCAUCUUGCAGUAAAAAAAAUCCAUAUUAUUCAUUGCUCAUUUCUAAACGUCGUAGUUGAUUCAACUCAGCACUGUAUACAUUCCUGUAAAAAGUUUUGGAAUGAUUUAUCUUGAAAAUACUGAUAAUAUAUGGAAACUUGAUAUUAUUGUACAAAUAAAAGACAAGUUUAAAUGUGAUUAUUUUAUCAAACUUUGCCAGGUAAAGUAGUUCAGAUUUUCUAACAGAAAGUUUUUAAAUAAACUGAAGGUGACAAGGAUAAAAGCUUGCCUGAAUGUGUGCCUCCACAAUGCUUUAUAAAUGGUACGGUAGUUUGAGAGAUUAUUUACCUACAGCAUGGAUUGUUGUGUUCAUUACUUUAUUCAGGCUUACCUUGCAAAAGUACUACUGAAAA